GCGGGGGUCGCCUAGCCUGGACAAUGGCGUCGGGUUUAGGCCCCGAUGGCUUAGUGCCUUCGUGGGUUCAAAUCCCACCCCCCGCA
rnacentral:tRNA from 1 species